GGAACUUUUCGGACGGGCGCGGGCCUAU
rnacentral:sRNA from 1 species